rnacentral:rRNA from 1 species
AAAAGGUUCAAGCAAGCAGAUCCAUUUUCUGCCACCGAAUACAUUAGCAUGGGAUAAUGGAAUAGGACCCUGUCCUCCUAUUUUCAGUUGGUUUUGGCAGCGCGAGGACUAGGGUAAUGAUUAAUAGGGAUAGUUGGGGGCAUUAAUAUUUAAUUGUCAGAGGUGAAAUUCUUGGAUUUAUGAAAGAUUAACUUCUGCGAAAGCAUCUGCCAAGGAUGUUUUCAUUAAUCAAGAACGAAAGUUAGGGGAUCGAAGACGAUCAGAUACCGUCGUAGUCUUAACCAUAAACGAUGCCGACCAGCGAUUAGGAGACGUUGAAUACAAAACACCACCAUCGGCGCGGUCGUCCUUGGCGUUGUC